rnacentral:rRNA from 1 species
GAUGGACGCUGGCGGCGUGCCUAAUACAUGCAAGUCGAGCGAACGGACGAGAAGCUUGCUUUUUUGAUGUUAGCGGCGGACGGGUGAGUAACACGUGGAUAACCUACCUAUAAGACUGGGAUAACUUCGGGAAACCGGAGCUAAUACCGGAUAAUAUUUUGAACCGCAUGGUUCAAAAGUGAAAGACGGUCUUGCUGUCACUUAUAGAUGGAUCCGCGCUGCAUUAGCUAGUUGGUAAGGUAACGGCUUACCAAGGCAACGAUGCAUAGCCGACCUGAGAGGGUGAUCGGCCACACUGGAACUGAGACACGGUCCAGACUCCUACGGGAGGCAGCAGUAGGGAAUCUUCCGCAAUGGGCGAAAGCCUGACGGAGCAACGCCGCGUGAGUGAUGAAGGUCUUCGGAUCGUAAAACUCUGUUAUUAGGGAAGAACAUAUGUGUAAGUAACUGUGCACAUCUUGAAGGUACCUAAUCAGAAAGCCACGGCUAACUACGUG